AUACGAAGGGUGCAAGCGUUGUUCGGAUUUACUGGGCGUAAAGCGUCCGUAGGUGGUUUGUUAAGUCAGGGGUGAAAUCCCGGGGCCUAACCCCGGAACUGCCUUUGAUACUGGCAGGCUGGAGCGCGAUAGAGGAAGAUGGAAUAUCUGGUGUAGGGGUGAAAUCCGUAGAUAUCAGAUAGAACACCAAUGGCGAAGGCAGUCUUCUGGAUCGUUGCUGAAACUGAGGGACGAAAGCGUGGGUAGCAAACAGAAUUAGAUACUCUGGUAGUCCACGCCCUAAACGAUGCAUGCUUGUUGUUGGUUUCCUUCGGGGAAUCAGUGACGAAGCUAACGCGUUAAGCAUGCCGCCUCGGGACUACGAUCGCAAGAUUAAAACUCAAAGGAAUUGACGGGG
rnacentral:rRNA from 1 species